UGACCUGCCUGGCGAUCAUUACCGUGA
rnacentral:piRNA from 1 species